rnacentral:rRNA from 2 species
UACAGAGACUGCAAGCGUUAUUCGGAUUCACUGGGCGUAAAGGGUGCGCAGGUGGCCAAGUGUGUGAGGCGUGAAAGCCCGUUGCUCAACAGCGGAAUUGCACCUCAAACUACAUGGCUAGAGCAUUGGAGAGGGUAGCAGAAUUCACGGUGUAGCAGUGAAAUGCGUAGAUAUCGUGAGGAAUACCAGAGGCGAAGGCGGCUACCUGGACAAUUGCUGACACUCAGGCACGAAAGCGUGGGGAGCAAAAGGG